rnacentral:lncRNA from 1 species
UCACCAUUCCCAGAACACACUUAGCUUACAUUUUCAGGUGUUGGAAGCCCCGGAGCCUCACAGGGGACCACGCCCACUGCCAGGAGCUGCAGCGAUUCCCCUUUUGUGGUCAGGGAGGCCGUGGAGCCCUGGGUGACCCUGUGACUUCCCAGGCUGCAGGUGGGAUUGAGCCAGGCACUGCGCACGCAGCACUGUGAGCCGCUGGCCCAGGCCAGGCUCCAGAGAUGGGAGCUCCGCGGGUUCACAGUCGUCUGUGACAGCAGAGCUGAGGGGAGGACGCAGACCCUGGCCUGACCUUGGGCUACCUCUCAGGGUUAGGCCACUGCCUCUGCUGCAGACCCAGGCGGCGCCCAAAGCCUGGGCGUCCCUCCGCUGCAGUGAAAGGGAAAAGAAAACCGGGCUGCGGUAAUGCCUGGAGCCAAAAUCUCAGGGAGAAGCCCAGCUCCCGACACCUACCCUCUUAAAGUGCAGUUGGAUUGAAUGAGGCUAAAGGAAGUAACAGGAACCCCGGCCUGGAGGAAGGAGCACGUGCUAUGGGCCUCAGAGGGUGGCAGAGGAGGUCUGCAGGGGCGAGAAUCUCGGACAGAGCCGAGGCACAGGGGCAGUGCGCAUGACCAGGGCUCCCAGACUUCAGGCAAGGAUGAUGGCGGAGAGACACGGCUUAGAAGUCAUCCCACCAUAUGGACGGGGAAACUGAGGCCCAGAGACAUGCAGAGACUUGGCUCGGACUGUUUUCUUCAAUGUGAGAUAGGAUUUGAAGGGGGAAAGUGAAGGAGUUAUUUCACCUGAUGUGUUAAGUGCGGAGUGAGGUAGGUGGGAUUUAGAGGGGAAAGCGAAGAAGGAGUUAUUUCACUCAAAGUGCGGAGUGACGAAGAUGAAGGAACACGAGGUAGCCGGGCAGUGGGUGCUGAGUUGGCUGACACUGGCUUCCUUCCAGAGCGCAGGGGUGCAUCCUUCCGAACCUCGCAUUCAGUGACGUCACCUUGGUGAUUUGAAGUAGGCCCUGGUGGAAGUAUUUACACCAUGGACAUCAGCAAAUGCAACCAAGACCUCCCGCUACCCUGGAGAGCUGGGUUUAAGACAUUUGCCAGCACACCACUGCCCAGGGACCAGUCUCAGCUCCAGAGCUGUGGGUUAUUGGUAAAGGAUGUGAUUUCAUUGAGCCUCAGUUUCUGUAUCUGUAAAGCAGGAAUCUAUCACUUAUGAAAUAUCCUGUGCAGGCACAAUCUUAGGUGUGGAGGAUACAAUACAACUCUUUGUAAUAGUUAAUUUUAUGCAUCAACUUGACUGGAUCACAGUGUGCCCAGAUAUUUGAUCAAACAUUAUUCUGAGUGUUUCCGUGACAAUGUUUUUGGAUACAAUCAACAUUUAUUUAAUUGGUUGAAGACCUGAAUAGAACAAAGAGUUCAAUUCUCUCAAGUAAGAGAAUUCCUCCUGUCUGACUACUUCAGAAUUGGGACAUUGGCUUUUUCCUGCCUCUACACUACAACUACACCAUCAAGCCUUCAGACAUGGAAAGGAACCACACUAUUGGCUCUCCUCGGUCUUCAGCUUGCCAACUCAAUGCAGAUCUUUGCAUUUGUCAGCCUUAUAACCAUGUGAGCUAAUUCCCUAAAAUAAAUGUCCUCAUUUAAAUGUA